AUAUCACUACGCCACAGUAAAAAAAGACCGACACAAAAACGCUAAUUAUUAAAAAAAUGACUGGAAACGGUGAGUAGAAACUUUUUUUGGUUACUAAUUAGCAAUAGAUAUAUCUUAUAAAGCAGAGUUCAUGUAGAUCCACGUGAGUGGAAUGAAAUUCACUUUCUAGGCACUUUUUCCAUGGUCCCAAUACAGCCUAUGGGUAGCCUAGCCGCGCUAGACAACCCACGGCAACAAAUUUAAUUCUCUGCCAGGGUGGGUCUAGUUACGCUCCAUAAGGCUCGAGGCUGGAUGCUCCUAAAACUGGCCGGACCAAUCACCAUGAAGUGUAGAGUCAGAAGGCGGGCGUAACUAAGUGACGACAGAGGCGCGACGAGUCUGACAGAAACAACCGGCGCACAAUAAACAGUUAUCUUUCGACUCGGCUUUGGCCACAGCCCUUAAAGAUUUGAAGCUGAAAUUCAACUUGAAAGAUAAACAAAGAGCGGCACUGAAGUGUUUCAUUUAGAAGAAAGACGUAUUUGGACUUCUGCCGACGGGAUAUGGCAAAUCCUUAAUAUACCAGUUGGCUCUGCUGGUUGGGAUGCUAAUGGUACUUAGCCACAAUCCGCCGGCACUCGAGGAACUACGUCAGCCUAUUCGUUGCACUGAUUGGUUGUAUACCUACCCAAUUGCUGCAGAGUGAUUUGAAAGACAACCUUUUAGCCCGCCUCCCUCCCCGUCGAGCGGUCCUAGACCCUUGCGUCUUCAGAACAUGGGUCUAGCGCGGCUAGGCUAGCCUAUGGGUACAUUGUGAAUAAAACAAGAAGUUCACUGUUACCUGAAAAUGUGAAUAUGCUGGUUUUCCUGGCACACAAUAUGAAGAAAGUGUAAUUUUAAAAUUGUGUGUAAUAUUUACUGCUUUUUCAUUGCACUAUUUUUGUACUUUUGUCUGUUUACAUUUGUACAUUGGUAUAUAUAAUGUAUAUAUAUGUGUAUGUAUGUGUGUGUGUGUGUAUAUAAAUAUAUUGUUAAUAACAAUGGUCUACAAUUUUUUAAAAGUUGCCAGCUUCUGAAAUAAAUUGUAUCAAUUCUUAUGUAUUUUGAUGUGCUGAAUUCAAAUAUGAAAACCGUUUUUUAUGAUUGGCUAUCAUUGUUGAGAUAUCUGGCACGUGUUUUUUUUUUAACCUUUUUAAUGUGCAAACAGUGAAAUUUCUCAACAAAAUUGUUACUUACGGCUUUUUAACAUGCUUAAAGUUACUUAAUAUGCUUAAGUUACUGUUUUACCAUGGCAGUAAGAUAAUACAAAUGUUGUAUGUUUAUCAAACAGUUUUAUCAAUCAGCUUCCCUGCUGCAGUAUACCAGGUCACCUUCCAUGUCGAAGAAUGAAAUCAAGUCCUUUUGACGAUAAUGAAAAAUCUUCCCGUCCCAGAAAGCGAACCAGGGAUCUUCUUGCUGCAAGGCAAAAGUGCUAACCACUACUCCACUGUGCAGCCCAGUUUAAACAUUGAAUAGAUGAAUAAUUAAAUUAUCUGUUUAUGGAGUCCACUACUAGUCAGAUGAAUGAGAAGAUGUGUCCUAACAUUAGUGUAUGCAGAAAACUGUCAGACAUCUUUGACUGUCUUGAUUGAAAUAGAAGAAUUCAUCCAUCAUCUUAAAAACAAACAUUCACUGAAUUUGCUGAAUUCAUUGGUAUUUAUUUACUGUGUCUUGCAACAGAAAAGCAAAACACUUUUCACAGAACAGAUAAAGUGCACAUUUUAAGCAAUAUUGAAGGAUUCCUUAUUAUAAAAUCUGAACUCCAGAAUUAAUUAAUGUUACUCUAAGAAGUAAUGCAUAGAGGACCAUCUAAGGGGAGUUUUCAGUGUUGGGAUGAGAGGAAUGAGUUCAACCACUAGACACAACCUGAAAACAUUGAAUUUUGAAGUGCAUUAAUCAUGUCGUUUACAAUGCAACGUUCUGCAGGGAAACCUUGGUUCCUGUGUUCCUGUGGAUGGACUUGUGAGAAAUACCACCCACUGCUGCAGAUCAAGAUCUAAAGAUCUUCAGAGUUUGGGUUUCCUCCCCUAAAAGGAGAUGGGACACUGAGCUUAAAGAAAGAGCUCUACAUCAUCUGAAGGUUUAGUCACAGAUACAGGAUCAGGCAGGGUCUCAGGAGGAGGACAAAACCCAGAGCUGGGGGAGUCUUCAGUCAGCUGAAGGUAAAUGUUUGUGACUGGUCACCAGGUGAUGAUACAGUGGGUAGGGAAAGUAUUCAGACCCCUUGAAAUUUUUUCACUGUGUCAUUGCAGCCAUUUGCCAAAAUCAAAAAAGUUCAUUUUAUUUCUCAUUAAUGUACACUCAGCACCCCAUCUUGACAGAAAAAAACAGAAAUGUAGAAAUUUUUGCAAAUGUAUUAAAAAAAGAAAAACUGAAAUAUCACAUGGUCAUAAGUAUUCAGACCCUGUGCUCAGUAUUGAGUAGAAGUACCCUUUUCAGCUAGUACAGCCAUGAGUCUUCUUGGGAAUGAUGCAACAAGUUUUCCACACCUGGAUUUGGGGAUCCUCUGCCAUUCUUCCUUGCAGAUCCUCUCCAGUUCUGUCAGGUUGGAUGGUGAACGUUGGUGGACAGCCAUUUUGAGGUCUCUCCAGAGAUGCUCAAUUGGGUUUAGGUCAGGUCUCUGGCUGAGCCAGUCAAGAACGGUCACAGAGUUGUUCUGAAGCCACUCCUUUGUUAUUUUGCUGUGUGCUGAGGGUCAUUGUCCUGUUGAAAGGUGAACCUUCGGCCCAGUCUGAGGUCCUGAGCACUCUGGAAGAGGUUUUCCUCCAGGAUAUCUCUGUACUUGGCCGCAUUCAUCCUUCCUUCAAUUGCAACCAGUCGUCCUGUCCCUGCAGCUGAAAAACACCCCCACAACAUGAUGCUCCCAUCACCAUGUUUCACUAUAGGGAUUGUAUUGGGCAGCUGAUGAGCAGUGCCUGGUUUUCUUUACACAUACCGCUUAGAAUUAACACCAAAAAGUUCAAUCUUGGUCUCAUCAGACCAGAGAAUAUUAUUUCUCAUAGUCUGGGAGUCCUUCAUGUGUUUUUUGGCAAACUCUAUGCGGGCUUUCAUGUGUCUUGCACUGAGGAGAGGCUUCCGUCGGGCCACUCUGCCAUAAAGCGCCGACUGGUGGAGGGCUGCAGUGAUAGUUGACUUUGUGGAACUUUCUCCUAUCUCCCGACUGCAUCUCUGGAGCUCAGCCACAGUGAUCUUUGGGUUCUUCUUUACCUCUCACCAAGGCUCUUCUCCCACGAUUGCUCAGUUUGGCUGGACGGCCAGGUCGAGGAAGAGUUGUGGUCGUCCCAAACUUCUUCCAUUUGAGGAUUAUGGAGGCCACUGUGUACUGAGGAACCUUGAGUGCUGCAGAAAUUCUUUUGUAACCUUGGCCAGAUCUGUAAUGAUGGCGAAAUCGGAACAGUGUUUUGGUACGCACCGAAACCCCGGUGGAACUUGUGAUUCGAAACGCUGUUCCGAGGUCUGUAUCAGAAGGACGAUGUCACGUGACUGUUCCAUGUUGCGUUCCAUGGAACGCCAACUGGUUUGAAACAUCACGGUUGUUUUUGUUUCAGUGAAACGGAAGUGAACACGCGAUGAUCCUGUGAUCCUUUUCCUAAAAUUGAAUAGUAAAUAAAAUACUAUCAUUACACAAUAUGAAAAUGCCUAUUAUAUGCAAAAUAUAUCCAAGUUACAUAUAUACUUUAUAUAUAAAAUAAUCAUUUCUUGUGCCCUCGCGUGAUUGGCUGUAAAACUACUGUCUUGCACUGUUUUUCACUCCAGUGAAGUGUGUUAAACUGUUUAUAUUGUGUGCUUAUUUUAUGUAAUGCUUUGGCAAUGUGAAUGUGUGUUUGUCAUGCCAAUAAAGCCUCUUUGAAUUGAA